GUAGUCCACGCCGUAAACGAUGUCGACUAGCCGUUGGGCUCCUUGAGAGCUUUGUGGCGCAGUUAACGCGAUAAGUCGACCGCCUGGGGAGUACGGCCGCAAGGUUAAAACUCAAAUGAAUUGACGGGGGCCCGCACAAGCGGUGGAGCAUGUGGUUUAAUUCGAUGCAACGCGAAGAACCUUACCUACCCUUGACAUCGUGCGAACUUUCCAGAGAUGGAUUGGUGCCUUCGGGAGCGCACAGACAGGUGCUGCAUGGCUGUCGUCAGCUCGUGUUGUGAAAUGUUGGGUUAAGUCCCGUAACGAGCGCAACCCUUGUCCUUAUUUGCCAGCGAGUCAUGUCGGGAACUCUAAGGAGACUGCCGGUGACAAACCGGAGGAAGGUGGGGACGACGUCAAGUCAUCAUGGCCCUUACGGGUAGGGCUACACACGUGCUACAAUGGCCGGUACAAAGGGUUGCGAAGCCGCGAGGUGGAGCUAAUCCCGAAAAGCUGGUCUCAGUCCGGAUCGGAGUCUGCAACUCGACUCCGUGAAGUCGGAAUCGCUAGUAAUCGUGAAUCAGAAUGUCACGGUGAAUACGUUCCCGGGCCUUGUACACACCGCCCGUC
rnacentral:rRNA from 1 species